rnacentral:sRNA from 1 species
CGGGGACGAGAGGUUCGCCGCGAGCCCGGUGCGGAUAAACUGACACCGGUCCCGCGUCGAGCGCAGCUCUCGGCCGGGCCAUCAAAUGAUCAGCCAGCAGCCGCUGCAACCCCAGGGAG